CCCAUGGACCCCAUCCUUCGUUGCCCUUUCCCAUCGAUCCCAUCUACCCCCGCCGCCGCCGUCCGAGGGGGAGACGACGCCGCCGCCGCCUCUGCAAGGCAGGGCGGUUUGAAUCCCGCCGCUGCCGAACUCCGGGAAACGCCCGACGGCGUACCCUGGAAGGCCUGGAUCAAGGAGGAGCACAGGUAUACCCUGCCACCAAAAUCUCAAUUGCAAUCCACGCAUUAAAGCAGGACUCCCCGAUCCGUCAGACAGAUCCUGCCGUUGGCCGCGACCCUCGUCGUCUACCUCCACCGGCCAUCCCGCACACCCUUGCUCUCCGUGCGUCGCGCCAUUCCCCACCCCGUUGUGCCCCGCCUCUGUCCUAACCGUCGAAAUCGGCCUCGCCGGCGGCGCCGCUCCCGUGUGCUUCGUGCUCCUGCGCUGCUGCCGUCGCGAUGUCCGGGGGAUCCAUGGCGGCCAGCUGCUUGUCAACCACAACGAGCGGAGGUAGCGAGUUGGAUUUGGCCACGCCUGAGUCUGUCAUGUUCUUGUGGGCCGGCAGCGAUUUCGUGGCCGCGGCAUUGCGGCGCGGUGGCCGGGGGUCGCGGCGUCCCAUGUGGGUGCAGUGGUCACGGCACAGGCACACACGACGGUGGUCGCGCAUGGGGCUGCGCUGGUCUGUGACCACAUGGUGGCGGAAGAAGGUCGUCUUCCCAUAGCACUGCACGCUGGCCGCCAUCUCCAUCGGCGGCUGCACCAACAAGACAGACUGUAUAAUUCGGAUGGGUCUUCUUCUACAUGGUGACUAUUGACGCAAAGAAGGAUUGCACUUCGUUCCCAUCUUCUACAUAGCCUAUACGCGUGUUGUGCUAUUUCAGGAGGAAUAUGAAAAGGAGAUCAAUGACACCAGGUCCCACGAGCUCAUCUUUCUGAAUGGUGCCUUGCUAGGAUGACCCAAAUUAUGUUAGUGUCGGUACGUUUAGUUGGUGAUGGUUUAGCGGGAGCGACAGCUGCAUCUGUAACUUACGUAACUUACCCAUUGGAUGUUGUUCGAACUCGCUUGGCAACACAGGUAACGUCCGUGAUGUGUCCUGUUUAACUCUUUGGGAUGUUCAGUCCAUUGCUUAUAUUGCUGGUACAGGAGGGUGAGGCAGUGUCAAAGCUACUUAGCAUUCUAAGAUUGUGAACCAGUAUAUGGGUUUGCACAUCUGAGUGCUGGUGAUCUUCUUCGCGAAGAAGUUAAAUGUGAUAUGGAGCAGAUUAAAAUUGACCAUGAGCUCGUACUAUUAAUUGAUGGCUCAAGGGAAGAGACAGCGGCAUAUUCUUAGUUGAAAUCAGGGGAAUAGAUGAUGACGCAUGGACACCAUUCGGUGGCAGUUUGAUGUUUUUCAGGAAUGAAUUCCACUCGUUAUUCAAUACCACUAUGAGAAAAGUAGUGAAAUGCUGGCCGUCUGCAAAAUGUACUGGUCCGUCUCGCGGUCUCACCCCAAAAACAGAGGAGAGGAGCAGAGAGCUCCUCCCUCACACUUGUCGGCUCCAAGGAGCCCCGCCACCAUGCAUGGAGAAGAGGAGCGCGAAGCUCCGCCGCGGUGUAAGGCAAACCAAGGCUGCAACGUUCGAAUAUUAUACUCAGUCAGUUGCUCGACUACUUACAGUCCUAUUACUUGAGACUUAAUACUCGGCCAGCUGCCGUGUACAUUGUUCUGACAUAAAUGCCACCAUGUCUAUGCACAAGUCAGAAGGAACUUACCAUCUAAAAAGAUGUCUAAUUAGUGUGGUACAUGCUUCAGUACUGCAAGUUGGAGUAGCAAUGCCUACCUGCACAUUGAUGCUCAUACCUGACGGUGAGAGAAGUUGCAUCUUGAGAUUCAAUUCUUUGAUUUAUGAUGCCCAGCCAUAUGCACAAUGAGAACAUAUAUCCUUUUUACUAAUCUCUGUUUUUCUAAGUUGAAACUAUUUCUUUGUUACUUGGUGUGUGUGAAGUGCAAUCAUAGUCCUGUCACAAACUUGUUUGAGGACGGCAAAAGACUGGCCUUUUGCCGGACAGAGAAAAGACCGGCUUAUUUUAUUUUAACACAACAUAGCAAGCUCCAUAUAUUGCAGUUAGUACAUGGCAGGAUGCAGACUAUGUGCAGUAUUAGUGGUGUUUAGACUCCAAAAUGGCAGUAUUAGUGGUGUUUUAAAGAGAAAGAUUCGUAAAUGAUGUUGUUCUCUACUAAGAAAAUUCAGUAGUCGGUGUCACCAUUGAGUGCCAAUGUGAUGGGCAUUUAAGAUUUAGAUUCAGAACUCCUGGGUUCAACACAGAUGGCUUCACUUCAAUAUUUUUCCCCAUGUGGUUGAUGGAUGCGUACAUAUCUAUGUACACUGGUACAUAUCCAUCCAUUCAACUUCAGUUUUGAUGCAUCGUGUAUACUGAAUCCUACAUUAUGUUGAGAAAUUUAGAUAUAUAAAAGUAUCUGUAAGCCGACCACAUACCACACAUUUUAAAGGUUUAUUUUCUCUACAUCUGUACUAGCUUUGAACCAAGUAUUUCUACCUUCUUUUUAUUUGUUGCCAGAAAUUAAGGAAUGUCGAUCUGAUGUAUUUUUACAACAAUCAGCGUGUUGAUGUGGAGCUUGUCCAUUCGCGACAUAACUUGUUUAUGUGGGAUGGUUGGAUGAUUGAAAGUCGGACGUACCAUUAACGACGGUUGUGAGCAUGGAUUGGGGAGACGAAGAUUAUGGGAGCACAAGAAAGAAAAGAAGAAGAAAACACGUUGCGGAGCGUCGCGGCCUCCCAGUUCUUGGCCUCCGUCGGGUGGCUAGACCACGCCACAUAGAAGACGAGGGUUAUGUCAGUUAGGGGCCUCGGCAACGACGACGAGAAUGGCCAGGUCGAAAUCACAGGUGCGUGACGGCUGGAGACGGCCGCAGGGUCCAGAGAUGGGGCGCACGGCGGAUGUGUUCUACUUCCCAUUGAGAGAAUUCUGGUGGGUUUCUCUAAUAGUAUGCCAAACUAACUAACAAUUGUAGUUAACUAUACCGCAGCGGCGCACUUCUUAUUUUGGGAUUAAGCCUAAUGCUUGCUCUACCAAUCAAGUAGUACUGUUGUGAACUCAUAGGUAAAACCAUUCUCUAUCCAAUACAGUGUUAGCAUAGCUGAGCGUGAUUAGGAGGGCAUGAUUAUUACUUUGGAUUGCUUUACGUAGAUUGGCAUGGCUGAUCUUCCCUUCCAUUAUUAUUGCUACUUUAUGUUUUAAUUCCAUUUUUCUUUACUUGUUCGGAUCCAUGUUCCAGUGACUUCCUGAACUUUUACUUGUUGAUGGGAAGUUUCUAUUUUAAUUUUUCUUUCACUUUAUCUUCAGGUUUACAGGGUUAAUGGAUCCAUGUUUGAGUUUAUAGAAGUGUGUUUACUUAUCUAGCUUUCUGUUUUCAUUCUGUUUGAAAUCCAUCGACAUUUUCCAAAAUUCCCUUAUCAAUGCACGAGUUUCCUUUCUUAAUUAACAUGUGAAGUUCCUUGUUCAACAAUGAUUUUUAGGCCAAAUCAGAGGAUGCAGGUUGUACCAUUGAAGAGAGAAAAUUAUGAGAAAACUACAAUAUAUGAGAGGCUUGGUUGAUACCUUCAGAAAAGCUACAUCCCAAUAAUGUUGUGGGUUACACCUUCUGGCUUGAAAAUCAGCUUCAUAACAAGAAAGUUGCAACACUAUAUUGGUGGAUAAUUGCAUUAAAUAAAUGUUGUAAUGGUGCAUUUGUUUUUAGAUUUCUAUUAACCUGGUACCAAAAAGUUGGAGAGCAAGGACCUUAUAUCAGUGGUGUUUAUACUCCAAAAUUGUGGUGUUUAUACUCCAAAAUUGCAGUAUCAGUGGUGUUUAGAUUCCAAAACCUAUCUAGAGUAAUCUGUCAUUUGUUCUUCAAAGAGAUUGCGUAUCUGUUACCCCAUGUCAGGUUCAGUACCUCUGGGUUCAAGAUCUAUAGCUACAAGUAUUUUUGACUAGAUUGUGGUCAUAUAUGUGCUAAUUCAUGCUGAUACGCAUGCUCUUUGAACUUUUGAAAGGAAUGGAUGAAAUCAUCAUCAGAGCUUCUGCAAAUGGGAUCUCUCUUGUAAGCCCCGCUAUAGUUACUUCACUGGUCUGAACUUUGAGUAACUUGAUAUAUGUCUCCCAGACAAAAAUAUUUUUAUUUAUUAGUUGUAUACAUCGUAGGUUAAUACUCGUGGAUGUUGAAGAAGUUAAAUGCUAUGUACUCUUUAUUAGUUUGGUUUGAAAUGAAAAGGAUGGCAAGCUUCUUCAGUUUA